rnacentral:sRNA from 1 species
CAGAUCCCGAGGCAUCUGGAGGAGAAGGACCUGAAGCCCAUCUUCGAACAGUUUGGUCGGAUCUUUGAGCUGACUGUCAUCAAGGACAAGUACACCGGGCUGCACAAGGGAUGUGCCUUCCUGACAUACUGUGCCCGGGAUUCAGCCCUGAAGGCCCAGAGCGCCCUGCACGAACAGAAGACGCUUCCAGGGAUGAACAGGCCGAUCCAGGUCAAGCCAGCCGACAGCGAGAGCCGAGGAGACCGGAAGCUCUUUGUGGGGAUGCUAGGGAAGCAGCAGACAGAUGAGGACGUCCGGAAGAUGUUUGAGCCCUUCGGGACCAUCGACGAGUGCACUGUGCUCCGGGGGCCAGAUGGCACCAGCAAAGGCUGCGCCUUCGUGAAGUUCCAGACCCACGCUGAGGCCCAGGCGGCCAUCAACACCCUUCACAGCAGCCGGACCCUGCCAGGUGCCUCGUCCAGCCUGGUGGUGAAGUUUGCUGACACCGAGAAGGAGCGAGGUCUCCGCCGCAUGCAGCAGGUGGCCACCCAGUUGGGCAUGUUCAGCCCCAUCGCCCUCCAGUUUGGAGCCUACAGCGCCUACACCCAGGCCCUGAUGCAGCAGCAGGCGGCCCUGGUAGCGGCUCACAGUGCCUACCUCAGCCCCAUGGCCACCAUGGCUGCCGUGCAGAUGCAGCACAUGGCUGCCAUCAAUGCCAAUGGCCUCAUCGCCACCCCCAUCACCCCAUCCUC